rnacentral:misc_RNA from 1 species
GAUGAAGAACGUAGCGAAAUGCGAUAAGUAAUGUGAAUUGCAGAAUUCAGUGAAUCAUCGAAUCUUUGAACGCACCUUGCGCUCCUUGGUAUUCCGAGGAGCAUGCCUGUUUGAGUAUCAUGAAGUUCUCAACCUUUUCAGCCUUUUUAAGCUGAUCAGGCUUGGAUAAUGGGAGUGUUGCAGGCUUCACAGAAUGUCUGCUCUCCUUAAAUGCAUCAGCUGGAAUCUUUUGUUGGCCAGCCUCUGGGUGUGAUAAUUAUCGAAACCCGUGGCUGCUACAUCAUCCUCUGCUUGAGGAGGUUCUGCUUCUAAUAGUCUCUUUCUUCUGAGACAAACCUUUUGACAACCUUUGAUCUCAAAUCAGGUAGGACUACCCGCUGAACUUAAGCAUAUCAAUAAGCGGAGGA